CCCCUCCCUUAAAGAGUUCUUACGAGUAUUCUUUAAAGGAGCAGAAGACCAAAUUCAGCAAGUUACUUAAAAUUUC
rnacentral:tRNA from 1 species